UGUUGUUUGAGCUAGAUAAAAAGCCGCGCAAUUGAAAAAAGAAGUCAUACGACUUCAUUUAAUUGAAUUAAUUUAUUUGUUUAAGAUUCAAUCAGCAAUUAUAAAAAAAAAAUGCCCCGGCUAUAUCAGUUCUUAUUUUUACUCGCUCUGGUUGCGUUGGCUGCUGCCGGUUGCGAAACAUGGAUGGGAUCUUGUACUGCCAAUUCCGACUGUUGCGAUGGCUAUUGUGGGCCUCAAACUAAAUAUUGUGAAUUUCCCCCGCAAGUGUUAAAAAACAUCGGCAAGUUUGGAAAAUAAAUGAUCAAUGUUUAUCAAAAUUGAAUGAUUAAACAUUGAAAAUAAAGUUUAGAACAAUCCAAUAGUUGAAACCCAAAAA